rnacentral:snRNA from 1 species
GUGCUUGCUUCAGCAGCACAUAUACUAAAAUUGGAAUGACACAGAGAUUAGCAUGGCCCCUGCACAAGGAUAACAUGCAAAUUCCUGAAGCACUCUAUAUUUUC